rnacentral:rRNA from 1 species
CAGCCGCCGCGGUAAUACAGAGGGUGCGAGCGUUAAUCGGAUUUACUGGGCGUAAAGCGUGCGUAGGCGGCUUCUUAAGUCGGAUGUGAAAUCCCUGAGCUUAACUUAGGAAUUGCAUUCGAUACUGGGAAGCUAGAGUAUGGGAGAGGAUGGUAGAAUUCCAGGUGUAGCGGUGAAAUGCGUAGAGAUUUGGAGGAAUACCGAUGGCGAAGGCAGCCAUCUGGCCUAAUACUGACGCUGAGGUACGAAAGCAUGGGGAGCAAACAGGAUUAGAUACCCGAGUAGUCCCUGUCUCUUAUAA